AGCAGCCGCGGUAAUUCCAGCUCCAAUAGCGUAUAUUAAAGUUGUUGCAGUUAAAAAGCUCGUAGUUGAAUUUCGGGAUCAAUACGUUGGUCGUGCUUUCGGGUACGUACUGGCGUCAUUGGUUUCUCUCUUCUGACGAACCAUGAUGUCAUUAAUUUGGUGUUAUGGGGAGUUAGGACUGUUACUUUGAAAAAAUUAGAGUGUUUAAAGCAGGCUUACGCUUGAAUACAUUAGCAUGGAAUAAUGAAAUAGGACGUUUGACCCUAUUUUGUUGGUUUCUAGGAUCGACGUAAUGAUUAAUAGGGAUAGUUGGGGGCAUUAGUAUUCAACUGUCAGAGGUGAAAUUCUUGGAUUUAUUGAAGACUAACUACUGCGAAAGCAUUUGCCAAGGAUGUUUUCAUUAAUCAAGAACGAAAGUUAGGGGAUCGAAGACGAUCAGAUACCGUCGUAGUCUUAACCAUAAACUAUACCGACUAGGGAUCGGAUGAUGUUAAUUUUUUAAUGACUCAUUCGGCGCCUU
rnacentral:rRNA from 1 species